UACGUAGGGUGCAAGCGUUUGUCCGGAAUUAUUGGGCGUAAAGAGCUCGUAGGCGGUCUGUUGCGUCGGCUGUGAAAACCCGGGGCUCAACUCCGGGCCUGCAGCCGAUACGGGCAGACUAGAGUUCGGCAGGGGAGACUGGAAUUCCUGGUGUAGCGGUGAAAUGCGCAGAUAUCAGGAGGAACACCGAUGGCGAAGGCAGGUCUCUGGGCCACUACUGACGCUGAGAAGCGAAAGCAUGGGGAGCGAACAGG
rnacentral:rRNA from 1 species